rnacentral:snRNA from 1 species
GUGCUCGUUUUGGCAGAACAUAUACUAAAAUUGGAAGAAUACAGAGAAAAUCAGCAGGGCCCCUGUGCAAGGAUGGCACGCAAAUUAUGAAGCAUUCCAUAUUUUA